rnacentral:rRNA from 1 species
GAUGAACGCUGGCGGCGUGCCUAACACAUGCAAGUCGAGCGAAGCGCCUUACUUGAUUUCUUCGGGAUGAAAGUAUUGUGACUGAGCGGGCGUAGGGUCAAGGUACGCGAGUAGACCUGCUCAUACAGGGAGUAACAGUUAGAAUAGACUGCUAAUACGCAUAAGACCACAGCACCGCAUGGUGACAGGGGUAAAAACGUACCGUGGUAUGAGAUGGAUCCGCGGUCUGAUUAGCUAGUUGGUGACGGUAACGGCUCACCAAGGCGACGAUCAGUAGCCGGUCUGAGAGGAUGAACGGGCCACAUUGGGACGUGAGGAUACGGCCCAGG